GCCGUUUCCGUGCUUCAUAGAUUGUAACAAUAUUCUGCCCAAGCAAUCCAAUUCAUCCAUUGUGUUGGCUAAGCACUCGUAAAACUCCUUAAAUACAUUCCAAUUAUUUUGUUUACUACCUCCGUUUGUCCAUUUGAUUGAGGGUGAUAGGCUGAACUGAAACAUCAUUUAGUACCACACAAAUGGAACAAUUCAGUCCAGAAAGUACUUCUGAAUGUAGCUUCACGAUCACUCACCAUAGUCUCUAGCAACCCAUGCAACUUGAAAACUGAAUCAAAAAAUAAACGAGCCACACACACAACGGUAUAAAGAUGAGACAAAGGAAGGAAAUGUGCAGACUUUGAGAAACGGUCCAAGACAACCAACAAAAUAUUCUUCCCCUUAGAUAUAGGCAGUCCUUCAAUAAAAUAUAAAGACACAUUUGCCAAAAAUUGCUUUGGAAUCGAUAGAGGUUGAAGAAGGCCUGCUGGUUGCAAGUUUUCAGAUUUGUGCCGUUGACAAACACUACAUGCCUUCACAAAAUCUUUUACAUGCUGUUCAUACCCUUCCAAUGAAAGUCUCAUGUGAUGCGGAACAAGGUUUUUU
rnacentral:misc_RNA from 1 species